AUUGAACGCUGGCGGCAUGCCUAACACAUGCAAGUCGAACGGCAGCGCGGGGGCAACCCUGGCGGCGAGUGGCGGACGGGUGAGGAAUGCAUAGGAAUCUGCCCGGUUGUGGGGGAUAACGCAGGGAAACUUACGCUAAUACCGCAUACGACCUUCGGGUGAAAGUGGGGGACCUUCGGGCCUCACGCGAUCGGAUGAGCCUAUGCCCGAUUAGCUAGUUGGCGGGGUAAGAGCCCACCAAGGCGACGAUCGGUAGCUGGUCUGAGAGGAUGAUCAGCCACACUGGGACUGAGACACGGCCCAGACUCCUACGGGAGGCAGCAGUGGGGAAUAUUGGACAAUGGGCGCAAGCCUGAUCCAGCAAUGCCGCGUGUGUGAAGAAGGCCUUCGGGUUGUAAAGCACUUUUGUUCGGGAAGAAAUCCGUGUGGUUAAUACCCGUACGGGAUGACGGUACCGAAAGAAUAAGCACCGGCUAACUUCGUG
rnacentral:rRNA from 1 species